rnacentral:lncRNA from 1 species
GUCAUCCAGCAGUCAGGGUUCAGUGUCUUUGUAGUUGGUGUGGCUGAUGUCGACUACAAUGAGCUUGCCAACAUUGCCAGCAAACCAAGUGAACGGCACGUGUUCAUUGUGGACGACUUUGAAUCUUUUGAGAAGAUCGAAGACAAUCUUAUUACAUUUGUUUGUGAAACUGCCACUUCAAGUUGUCCUCUCAUUUAUUUGGAUGGCUACACCUCACCAGGUUUUAAAAUGCUUGAAGCAUACAACCUGACAGAAAAGAAUUUUGCUUCUGUACAAGGAGUAUCUUUGGAGUCAGGGUCUUUCCCCAGCUACUCAGCAUACAGGAUUCAGAAGAAUGCGUUUGUGAAUCAGCCUACAGCAGACCUACACCCAAAUGGACUCCCUCCUUCAUACACGAUUAUAUUAUUAUUCAGACUUCUCCCAGAAACUCCCAGUGACCCUUUUGCAAUUUGGCAAAUCACAGACAGAGACUACAAACCACAAGUUGGAGUGAUUGCAGAUCCUUCUAGCAAGACGUUAUCAUUCUUUAACAAGGAUACAAGAGGCGAGGUGCAAACUGUUACAUUUGACACAGAAGAAGUAAAGACAUUAUUUUAUGGAAGUUUUCACAAGGUAAAAACAUAAGAUUAUUUGAGUCUUAUUUCUAGAAAAAAAUAUAAAACAAAUUUAUUAUUUAUUAAAAUGUCAUGUUAAAUUGGCAGAAUUAUAACUAUGUCUUUUAAAAAUAAAAUCUUGUUUUAGAGAAUUUGGUUAAUUCAAAUAAUAUUUAAAAUAAAACAAUAUACUAAUCAAGA